UCCCUGUGAAGAAUUCUUGCAUUUCAAUUCCAGCCAAGGCUUUGUGAAGACGAACCUACUGGUGCUGGCGGACAACGAGGAGAAUAUUUGUUCCAGAAGGAAUUUCCUGAGGGAU